CCCUGACCCAACGUUUGCUAUGCGUUCAGCUCCUUUUCUUUGACUUUCCUCACUCCAGUCCCACCGCUGGAAUACCGCUCCGGUUUGUUCUGCCAUCUGUCAAGUCCCCGGACUGGUUCCGCCUCCUCCAGAAAGCCUUCCCUGACUACCUGAACCCAUACAGACACUCUCAAGACACUGUCCUUUCUACAUCCAGUGGCUGCAGUGGGGGGAGAUGAAAAGGAGGAGAAACUGUUGGAUAAAAAGAAAUUCAAAAAAAAAACCACAGCACAAAGCUCCAACUCCAGCUCCCGCCUGUUCUCUCCAGUCUGUCAGGAGUCCUCUACCACUCGGAAACUUUCGGCCGUCACCUUCCUGCAGGCAGUGGAAGCACUGAUCUCUAAUUCCAAGCUUCUCUUGAGAUCCAAGCCCACAACCCCAGCAGCGCAAGCCUGACACUUGGACAAGCAGACUCUCGUGUCUCUCCUGAAGCCGGCAACAACCUGUGAGUCCCUGCUUCAAUGACUGCCAUGUCCCCCACCCAUUCAACCUCGCAGAGACCUUGGAGCCUCCAGCCCUUCCCCUGUCCUCAUCUUUACCUUCAGUUAGUGUACCAGUUCACAGACGUUUCCUGAUUUCUUUGGCACCCAUCUUUGCCUCACCAUCACCGCUGUCCUGUGGGAAGGCCCUUAUCACAGCUCCCCCAGGCCUCUCCAAUUCACCCAACAAGACCCACGCCGUGCCAGUCACCAGGUGCGGCAUCUGCCUCCCUGCACAGCUCCUCAAGUCCCACGUCUCUGCUUGCUCUACACACCGCUGCCAGAUACAUUUUCCUAAAGCACAGCUCUAAUCGUGUCGCCCCCUGCUCAAAAACCCUCAAUGGCUCCCCUACUGCCUACUAAAUAAAGUACAAACUCCUGACUCUGAUAUUCAUGGCCCAUUGUGAUCUGGCCCCUUCCUACCCCUCUCGCCAAGACUUUGCAGUCCUCUCCUUCAUGCCCAUACUUACCAGCCAGAUUGGCCACUGGAUGCUUCCCCUGCACACUCCCCACCAAGCAACUCCCCACCUCUGUGCCCUGGUUCAUGCUCUUCUUCUGUCUGCGAUGCUGUCCUUCUGAAAUGGCAGCACUGCCCAACACCCAGCUCAUCUCUGCCCAUCAAUGCCUUAAUCUUCUGUAAGACCCGAUCCAAGUAAAGUCAUCUUCUGAAUGCUUCCUGUAAAAUGCUUAGCAAGGUGCCUGCUAGAUUCUGUUC